AGCCCCCCUCAAGAUGAGAUUUCCCAUCGCGUCAAGCGAGUAAGAUCCCUUGAAGAUGACAAGGUAGAUAGGUCCGAGGUGGAAGCGUGGCGACACGUGCAGCUGACGGAUACUAAUCGAUCGAGGACUUAACUAAA
rnacentral:rRNA from 1 species